GACGAACGCUGGCGGCGUGCCUAAUACAUGCAAGUCGAACGCAGUGGGGACGGGUGAGUAACACGUGGGUAACCUCCCAUCAGAGGGGAUAACACUUGGAAACAGGUGCUAAACCGAUACUGAUGGAUGGACCCGCGGGGCAUUAGCUAGUUGGGGAGGUAACGGCUCACCAAGGCCACGAUGCAUAGCCGGGCUGAGAGGGUGACCAGCCAAACUGGGAAUGAGAAACGGCCCAGACUCCUACGGGAGGCAGCAGUGGGGAAUUUUGGGCAAUGGGCGAAAGUCUGACCCAGCCAACCCGCGUGUGUGAAGAAGGGUUUCGGGUUGGAAAACCCUUUUGGUAGGAAAGCGGUAUCUGACCAGAAAGCCACGGCUAACUACGUGCCAGCAGCCGCGGUAAUUC
rnacentral:rRNA from 1 species